rnacentral:rRNA from 1 species
UACGGGGGGGGCAAGCGUUGUUCGGAAUUACUGGGCGUAAAGGGCUCGUAGGCGGCCAACUAAGUCAUACGUGAAAUCCCUCGGCUUAACCGGGGAACUGCAUCCGAUACUGGAUGGCUUGAGUUCGGGAGAGGGAUGCGGAAUUCCAGGUGUAGCGGUGAAAUGCGUAGAUAUCUGGAGGAACACCGGUGGCGAAGGCGGCAUCCUGGACCGACACUGACGCUGAGGAGCGAAAGCCAGGGGAGCAAACGGG